rnacentral:rRNA from 1 species
UCCUAUCAGCUAGUUGGUGAGGUGAUGGCUCACCAAGGCAACGACGGGUAGCCGAACUGAGAGGUCGAUCGGCCACAUCGGAACUGAGAACUGUCCGGACUCCUACGGGAGGCUGCAGUCGAGAAUCUUCUGCAAUGGGCGCAAGCCUGACAGAGCGACGCCGCGUGCGGGAUGAAGGCCCUCGGGUUGUAAACCGCUGUCACUCGUUAAGAAAGCCUGGGGUAGGCCUCCAGGCUGACGUUAGCGAGAGAGGAAGUCACGGCUAACUUCGUGCCAGCAGCCGCGGUAAGACGAAGGUGACAACCGUUGCUCGGAAUCACUGGGCAUAAAGCGCGCGUAGGUGGCUGUGUAAGUCCAUGGUGAAAUCCCUCGGCUCAACCGAGGAACAGCCGUGGAUACUGCAUAGCUUGAGAACGGGAGGGGUGAGUGGAACUCUGGGUGUAGCGGUGAAAUGCGUAGAUAUCCAGAGGAACGCCGGUGGCGAAAGCGACUCACUGGACCGUUACUGACACUGAGGCGCGAGAGCUAGGGGAGCAAACAGGGAUUAGAUACCCCUGGUAGUCCUAGCUGUAAACGAUGGGUACUGGGU